UUUAUCAGCCUAGUGGAGAGAGACCAGGUAAGUUACUGUACUCGUAGAGUUUUACUGUAGUUUAUCAGUCUAGUGGAGAGAGACCAGGUACUAGUUACUGUACUCGUAGAGUUUUACUGUAGUUUAUCAGCCUAGUGGAGAGAGACCAGGUAAGUUAUUGUACUCGUAGAGUUUUACUGUAGUUUAUCAGCCUAGUGGAGAGAGACCAGGUAAGUUACUGUAGUUUAUCAGUCUAGUGGAGAGAGACCAGGUAAGUUACUGUACUCGUAGAGUUUUACUGUAGUUUAUCAGUCUAGUGGAGAGAGACCAGGUAAGUUACUGUAGUUUAUCAGCCUAGUGGAGAGAGACCAGGUAAGUUAUUGUACUCGUAGAGUUUUACUGUAGUUUAUCAGUCUAGUGGAGAGAGACCAGGUAAGUUACUGUAGUUUAUCAGCCUAGUGGAGAGAGACCAGGUAAGUUAUUGUACUCGUAGAGUUUUACUGUAGUUUAUCAGUCUAGUGGAGAGAGACCAGGUAAGUUACUGUACUCGUAGAGUUUUACUGUAGUUUAUCAGUCUAGUGGAGAGAGACCAGGUAAGUUACUGUACUCGUAGAGUUUUACUGUAGUUUAUCAGUCUAGUGGAGAGAGACCAGGUAAGUUACUGUACUCGUAGAGUUUUACUGUAGUUUAUCAGUCUAGUGGAGAGAGACCAGGUAAGUUACUGUACUCGUAGAGUUUUACUGUAGUUUAUCAGCCUAGUGGAGAGAGACCAGGUAAGUUACUGUACUCGUAGAGUUUUACUGUAGUUUAUCAGCCUAGUGGAGAGAGACCAGGUAAGUUACUGUACUCGUAGAGUUUUACUGUAGUUUAUCAGUCUAGUGGAGAGAGACCAGGUAAGUUACUGUACUCGUAGAGUUUUACUGUAGUUUAUCAACCUAGUGGAGAGAGACCAGGUAAGUUACUGUACUCGUAGAGUUUUACUGUAGUUUAUCAGUGUAGUGGAGAGAG